rnacentral:rRNA from 1 species
UACGGAGGGGGCUAGCGUUGUUCGGAAUCAUUGGGCGUAAAGGGCGCGUAGGCGGCCGAUCAAGUCGGAGGUGAAAUCCCUCGGCUUAACCGGGGAACUGCGUCUGAUACUGGAUGGCUUGAGUUCGGGAGAGGGAUGCGGAAUUCCAGGUGUAGCGGUGAAAUGCGUAGAUAUCUGGAGGAACACCGGUGGCGAAGGCGGCAUCCUGGACCGAUACUGACGCUGAGGAGCGAAAGCCAGGGGAGCAAACGGG